GGGCCGUUAGCUCAGUUGGUAGAGCAGUGGACUUUUAAUCCAUUGGUCGAAGGUUCAAGUCCUUCACGGCCCACCA
rnacentral:tRNA from 4 species